rnacentral:lncRNA from 1 species
UCGUCCUCUGCAAAGCGUACACAAGUGACACCUGAACCUAAAUCCUGGGUUCCCAAAAUUCCAUUGAAGAAUUACUGUUGACCAAAUAAGGUCGAAGCACACCCUGUAGCAGAAAUCAUACCACAUGCUGGAUCAGAAGGCCCAUUACUAGAACUGUCGCCUUUAACGUCCCAAAAGCAUCCCAAACAUUAUUGACACCAUGGUACCAACGCUCCAUGAGUCGAGCCACAGCAAAUGAACACAGUGUGUUCACUGAAAUUGGUGGCAAAGCUGAAUCACCAAUGCUCCCCUGAGCAAUGUCCUUAAUCGACCCAGAGCCCAUCACAAAAGAUAUUAUACCAAACUGAACAUCCACCACGGUACUGAACUUGUCUCGAUGUCUCUUAACUAGUGCUGCGCUUCCCUACAAAAUGUACAACUGAGACAUUUUCCGCUCCUCCAAUACAACUCGGACACCUAUUCAGACCUUCAAAACUCCACUUCCACCAGAGAAUUUAUACCCCUUUGCAUCUAGGGUACUUAGAGAGAUAAGAUUUCUUUUCAGGUCUAGAACAUAUCAAACCUGAUCAAUUAUUCUGAUCAUCCCAUCCUGCACUUUAGUCUAACUUAACCGAUUCCAGCAAUAUGGCAAGAUUGGUCGUUUCCCAUUACAACUCAACCUUGCUGAAUAAUCUCAUAUGUCUGAAAGUAAUUCCGACUGGAACACAUAUGAUGCGAAUAUGCCGAAUCGAGAAUUCACUCGUCGUCAAGCCUAGAUUCCAUGUUAGAUACCACAGUCAAUAUCACAUUGCCGCCGUCUGAAAAAUCCUCAAUUACAUUUAUUUCGUCUAAAGUCAAAGGUUGCACUUCAUGAUUUCUAGCUAAAUCAUCUUUAUCCUACAACUUAUCACAAUCCUUCCGAAUAUGUCACUUACGUCUACAGUAGAAGUAAAACAAAUUCCUGUUAUUCGAUACAAGAGUUCCCUCAUCCCUAGAUAUAGCUCCAACCAAAUGCUUCAACUUUUCCUUUGAGUGCAAAGCAUCAUAAAUAUCGUCUAUAGUCAAAAUAUCUCGACUAUACAAAAUGGUGUCCCGAAACGAC